rnacentral:rRNA from 1 species
UGGGGAAUAUUGCACAAUGGGCGCAAGCCUGAUGCAGCCAUGCCGCGUGUGUGAAGAAGGCCUUCGGGUUGUAAAGCACUUUCAGCGAGGAGGAAGGUGGUGGACUUAAUACGUUCAUCAAUUGACGUUACUCGCAGAAGAAGCACCGGCUAACUCCGUGCCAGCAGCCGCGGUAAUACGGAGGGUGCAAGCGUUAAUCGGAAUUACUGGGCGUAAAGCGCACGCAGGCGGUUUGUUAAGUCAGAUGUGAAAUCCCCGGGGCUCAACCUGGGAACUGCAUUUGAAACUGGCAAGCUAGAGUCUCGUAGAGGGGGGUAGAAUUCCAGGUGUAGCGGUGAAAUGCGUAGAGAUCUGGAGGAAUACCGGUGGCGAAGGCGGCCCCCUGGACGAAGACUGACGCUCAGGUGCGAAAGGCGUGGGGGAGCAAACAGGAUUAGAUACCCUGGUAGUCCACGCUGUAAACGAUGUCGAUUUUGGAGGUUGUGCCCUUGAGGCGUGGCUUCCGGAGCUAACGCGUUAAAGUCGACCGCCUGGGGGAGUACGGCC